rnacentral:lncRNA from 14 species
UAGUACCACUGGGAAUAACACGGUACCUUUGCUGGCUGUCUCACUGCUGAGGCCAGGUGCUGGACACUUCCCAUGCAGCCUUCCCAGGGAGAAGAGCAGGAUCUCCCAUUAACAACACUUUUGAGAGCACCAGACAAAGUCUCGGACACACAUUGUCCACCCAGCUGCUGCUGGUGCUACUCAGCCCUUCAACUCUUUAUGGGAACAGAGGGUCCCCCUGUGGGACUCCUGGGAAAGGACAGGGAUCUUCAGCACAAGUAACAAUGGCACAAGAUGGGGACGUUGAACAACUUGCUGAUAGAAGAAAAGGUGAAGGACAGAAGCACUGGAGGAAAUCACAGUCUCCUGCUGCCAGCUUUCUGGAUGACUGGUGGCACAAGAGCCAGUUCCUUAAAGCCAUGGAAUUCAGUCUUGCUGCUGUGCCCUAACCAAGUCCCCAAGUUACAGAAAUGAACUAUUCAGCUAUAGAGGCAGAGGAACUGAAAAAGUGCUCAUGUGUAAAACCAUGUCACAAAAUUUCUCACAACUAGACAUAUGCAAAUAAAAAUGUGAACGAAUAAAAAAAACA